UUUACUCAUAGUUUUUACUAGUUUUGCAAAUUAUAUGGGUAUGUCUUUAAAGGUAAGAUAAAAAGAAUUUAAUUGAGGAAUUGAUUUUAAAUAUCCUAUACAAGCAACUUUGCAUUAUGUUUACACUUCUAAAUAUAAAUGAUUGUGUGACUCAUAAAAUGCUCCAAUAGGUUUUAAUAAAUUUAUUAUCAAUCGAUUGUUAGAUUUUAGCUUUCAUAUUGUUCAAGUUUGAUGAAGUACCUGCUUUCUUGGUUGCCAAAGUCUUUGCCAAACCAAUAACAAGUCAAUAUCUGAAGUAAUGUUAUGGCUGCUAUUGAUCAAAGACUAUCAUCCAUCAGAUCUCUUUCAACUACCCAGC
rnacentral:lncRNA from 1 species